UUGACUUGAGUUGAUUUGAAUCCUUAAUGCACCUCCUGCACGUUUUUUUUUGGUAGUUGGAAAAUGUCGACGCUCCCUUGAGCAACCGUCGCUCUUUUCCACACCCCCGGGGAGGUCUGAACACGGACAGGGGGAGACACCGGUUUACAACGUCAAAGCAACGGACUACACAGCUUCAGUUCUCCUCCACACACAUCCUGCAAUCAUCACAACCUCAUCCUCCUACAUCCAUCCACACACCGAGUGUCGAGCUGCUGAUCAGAAGCCGGAGCUGGAGCGGCUCACUGGAGGGAGGAUCUGACCAGUCACGGAUCAGGACGAGAUCAGGACGGAGCAGAGGAGUCUAGAGGCAAGCCCUGGUGUGCCAGAACUCAUAAAGAGCCUCUGACCCUCCAGAAUCCGUGCAGAUCACAGAGCCGCCACCGUCCCCAAAUGAAGGAGCCGGACGCCAUCAAGCUCUUCAUCGGCCAGAUCCCUCGCAAUCUGGAAGAGAAGGACCUCAAGCCCAUAUUCGAGCAGUUCGGCAAGAUCUACGAACUGACGGUGAUCAAGGACAAGUACACGGGCAUGCACAAAGGAUGCGCCUUCCUGACAUACUGUGCCAGAGAGUCCGCCUUGAAGGCCCAAAAUGCCCUGCACGAGCAGAAGACUUUGCCAGGGAUGAACCGACCCAUUCAGGUGAAGCCAGCUGACAGUGAGGGACGUGGAGACAGGAAGCUGUUUGUGGGUAUGCUGGGGAAGCAGCAGUCGGACACUGACGUCAGAAAGAUGUUCGAGCCGUUCGGCAGCAUAGAGGAGUGUACCGUGCUCAGAGGACCAGACGGAGCUAGCAAAGGUUGUGCGUUUGUAAAAUACCAGAGCAAUGCAGAGGCACAAGCGGCUAUUAACGCUCUCCACGGCAGUCGUACUCUACCGGGGGCUUCGUCCAGUCUGGUGGUGAAGUUUGCAGACACGGAGAAGGAGCGAGGCAUCAGGCGCAUGCAGCAGGUCGCCUCCCAACUGGGAGUCAUCAGCCCCAUGAGCCUCCACCUGGGGGCAUACAACGCCUAUACACAAGCACUGGUCCACCAGCAGGCCUUGGUGGCUCAGUCGGCCUAUCUGUCUCCCGUGGCGACGGUUGCUGCGGUGCAGAUGCAGCAGUUGGCUGCUCUCAACCCAAGCAGCAUCAUAGCCACACCCAUAGCAUCAAUCACUCCUUCCUCAGGUGCAAGCACUCCUCCAACCAUUGCUGCCACACCAGUGCCUACUCUCGCUGCACAAAUUGCAGUCAACAGUUACCCGGCUGUGGCCGCCCCACCCAUUGGGCAGUCAGCCUCAGAAACACUCUACACCAACGGAGUCCAUCCUUACCAAGCUCAGAGUCCUGCGUUGGAUCCUCUGCAGCAGGCGUACGCUGGCAUGCAGCAUUACACUGCCACAUAUCCUGCUGCUUAUGGACUGGUCGGGCAGCCGUUUCCCCAUCAGCCCACGCUGGUCGCUCAGCAAGUCCAGCAGCCGCAGCAGCUUCAGCAGCGAGAAGGUCCGGAGGGCUGUAAUAUCUUUAUCUAUCACCUGCCGCAGGAGUUCACCGACUCGGAGAUGCUGCAGAUGUUUCUCCCCUUCGGCAAUGUCAUCUCAGCCAAGGUCUUCGUCGAUCGUGCAACCAAUCAGAGCAAGUGCUUUGGGUUUGUGAGCUUUGACAACCCAGCCAGCGCUCAGACUGCCAUCCAGGCCAUGAACGGCUUUCAGAUUGGCAUGAAAAGACUGAAAGUGCAGCUGAAGAGGCCCAAAGAUGCCAACCGCCCAUACUAAGCUAUUCAGGCUGCCCCGGCCAAUCAUAUCUCGUGUGGAGACUACGUCGCUAUGGCUGCGGUGGCCAUAGCAACCAAUAAAGCCUCCCCCCUUCCUCUGGCAGCGUUUGUUAAAAAAAGAAGAAGACCGAAGACUGACUGAACUUUGGUGAAAAAGGAAAAAAAAAAAAAAAAAAAAAAUAAGAAUCCUCAGCUGCAAAUUACGGGACCAAGAGCUUAUACUUAAUACAAAGAACACUGAAGUGAAUAUAUACGUUUAGCAGAUUACCUAACCCGCUGCACAAGACUUGGGUUGAUUAUACAUUUACAGCCUCAUCAGUAUACAGCAUAUGACUAUGACCGAUAACUAUUUAUAGGCACAUUCUGUACAGCUAGUAACUGGCUAAAACAUUUAUCGCCGCAGCGUCUCAGACUUGCACUCUUUUUUCGUGUGGGGACUAAAGCGAAGGCUUUCGAUCCGGCUUGGACCGACACCGCACAUAAAACGGGACCAACACGAACACGACACGGCCGCACAGCAAGGCCUUUUUGCUGGUUCGCGGAAAUCGAUCGAGCGCCAGUUACGUGUAUAUAGAAAUGUAUUGAGCCACACGAAGGCAUAUCACUGGAAAGGGUGGGGAAUAGGAAUAUGGGUGUUUUUUUUUAUUAUUAUUUAAGCUCAUCAGUGCAAAGCAUCAUGAGUAUGUUAGUUAGGGGGGAAAAGAGAAGAAAACGACUGGAUAUUGUCUACACGGUCAGGCUGUAGUUAGAUUUUACAUUUUCAGGUAUGUUUAGGAAGAUUUGAUGGAAAGUGUGGUGGAGAAAAUGAGCGAAAAGCAUUUUAACGAUGUAUUUCAUUGUAAAUAUCAUGGUUUUAAAUGGAGGUUAAAAUUCUGAUUUAUUAUUAUUAAUAUUAUUAUUAUUAUUAUUAUUGUUUCAUACUUUCCAAAAAGUACAUUUUAAUUCCUUUUUUUAACAUGAAUUAAUUUAUUGAUUUCUUGAUGAAGGGUCUUUUUAAAUUAUUUAUGAAGAUAGACGUUCAUUGACAGUUUUGUCUCUGAAUCAAAGUAUUUUUUAGAACUUUUAUUUAUAGAAUUAAAAUUGAACAAUCAUUAAUCUUAAUUUAUUUUCUUUAGCUGUUUCAUAUUCUGUCAAUUACAAAAAAAAUAAUAAAAAAAAAGUUUUAAAUAAG